AUACGGAGGGUGCAAGCGUUACUCGGAAUCACUGGGCGUAAAGCGCGCGCAGGCGGCUUGAUAAGUUGGAUGUGAAAGCCUACGGCUCAACCGUAGAACUGCAUCCAAAACUGUCAAGCUAGAGUCUGGGAGGGGAAGAUGGAAUUAGUUGUGUAGGGGUAAAAUCCGUAGAGAUAACUAGGAAUACCAAAAGCGAAGGCGAUCCUCUGGAACAGUACUGACGCUGAGGCGCGAAAGCGUGGGGAGCAAACAGGAUUAGAAACCCGAGUAGUCC
rnacentral:rRNA from 1 species